rnacentral:rRNA from 1 species
CACACCGCCCGUCACACCAUGGGAGUUGGUUUUACCCGAAGGCGCUGUGCUAACCGCAAGGAGGCAGGCGACCACGGUAGGGUCAGCGACUGGGGUGAAGUCGUAACAAGGUAGCCGUAGGGGAACCUGCGGCUGGAUCACCUCCUU